GGGGAUGUGGUUCAAUGGCAGAACAGCGGUCUCCAAAACCGUUGAUGUGGGUUCGAUUCCUUCCAUCCCCGCCA
rnacentral:tRNA from 1 species